rnacentral:lncRNA from 1 species
ACGGGACCGAAUCGGACCGGAAUCAGGGAGUUGUCACGGUCGAUCGGACCUGUUGGAGUGGUUGAACCGCCGGCUAUGGUGGGCCUGGGGUCCGUGGAUGGUAAGUGCAUUUAUUACCGAAUAAACCGGCGGUCAGGGAGAGCCAUACGCUCUGAUGGUUCAGUGAUCCGGAGAUCGUCUUGGGCCGUGCUCAUUAAAUGACU